UACGUAGGGGGCAAGCGUUGUUCGGAAUUACUGGGCGUAAAGGGCUCGUAGGUGGCCAACUAAGUCAGACGUGAAAUCCCUCGGCUUAACCGGGGAACUGCAUCUGAUACUGGAUGGCUCGAGUUUGGGAGAGGGAUGCGGAAUUCCAGGUGUAGCGGUGAAAUGCGUAGAUAUCUGGAGGAACACCGGUGGCGAAGGCGGCAUCCUGGACCAACACUGACGCUGAGGAGCGAAAGCCAGGGAGCAAAGCGGG
rnacentral:rRNA from 1 species